ACGCUGGCGGCGUGCCUAAUACAUGCAAGUCGAACGGUCUUUCUAUGGAAGCUUGCUUCCACUGAGAAGAUAGUGGCGAACGGGUGAGUAACACGUGGGUAACCUGCCCAUAAGAGGGGGAGUAACAUCCGGAAACGGGUGCUAAUACCGCAUAGUUUUCUUGAUCGCAUGAUUGAGAAAGGAAAGACGGCCUUUGUGCUGUCGCUUAUGGAUGGACCCGCGGCGUAUUAGUUAGUUGGUGAGGUAACGGCUCACCAAGACGAUGAUACGUAGCCGACCUGAGAGGGUGAUCGGCCACAUUGGGACUGAGACACGGCCCAAACUCCUACGGGAGGCAGCAGUAGGGAAUCUUCCGCAAUGGACGAAAGUCUGACGGAGCAACGCCGCGUGAGUGAAAGAAGGUUUUCGGAUCGUAAAACUCUGUUGUCAGAGAAGAACAAGUUGGAGAGUAACUGCUCCAGCCUUGACGGUAUCUGACCAGAAAGCCACGGCUAACUACGUGCCAGCCGCCGC
rnacentral:rRNA from 1 species